rnacentral:rRNA from 1 species
AUUGAACGCUGGCGGCAGGCCUAACACAUGCAAGUCGAACGAGUGGCGGACGGGUGAGUAAUGUCUGGGAAACUGCCUGAUGGAGGGGUAUCACUACUGUAAACGGUAGCUAAUACCGCAUACCAUCGGAUGUGCCCAGAUGGGAUUAGCUAGUAGGUGGGGGAAAGGCUCACCUAGGCGACGAUCCCUAGCUGGUCUGAGAGGAUGACAAGCCACACGGGAACUGUGACACGGUCCAGACUCCUACGGGAGGCAGCAGUGGGGAAUAUGUCACAAUGGGCGCAAUCUUGAUGCAGCCAUGCCGCGUGUAUGAAGAAGGCCUUCGGGUUGUAAAGUACGUUCAUCGGGGAGGCGUUACCCGCAGAAGAAGCACCGGCUAACUCCGUGCCAGCCGCCGCGGUAAUUC